rnacentral:siRNA from 1 species
UAACCGUAUUUUGGACCGUAA